rnacentral:rRNA from 1 species
AUGAACGCUGGCGGCGUGCCUCAUACAUGCAAGUCGAGCGAACGGACGAGAAGCUUGCUUUUCUGAUGUUAGCGGCGGACGGGUGAGUAACACGUGGAUAACCUACCUAUAAGACUGGGAUAACUUCGGGAAACCGGAGCUAAUACCGGAUAAUAUUUUGAACCGCAUGGUUCAAAAGUGAAAGACGGUCUUGCUGUCACUUAUAGAUGGAUCCGCGCUGCAUUAGCUAGUUGGUAAGGUAACGGCUUACCAAGGCAACGAUGCAUAGCCGACCUGAGAGGGUGAUCGGCCACACUGGAACUGAGACACGGUCCAGACUCCUACGGGAGGCAGCAGUAGGGAAUCUUCCGCAAUGGGCGAAAGCCUGACGGAGCAACGCCGCGUGAGUGAUGAAGGUCUUCGGAUCGUAAAACUCUGUUAUUAGGGAAGAACAUAUGUGUAAGUAACUGUGCACAUCUUGGCGGUACCUAAUCAGAAAGCCACGGCUAACUACGUG